rnacentral:rRNA from 1 species
AGAGUUUGAUCCUGGCUCAGAACGAACGCUGGCGGCAGGCUUAACACAUGCAAGUCGAACGCCUUAGCAAUAAGGAGUGGCGCACGGGUGAGUAACGCGUGGGAACAUGCCUCAGAGUCUGGGAUAACCACUGGAAACGGUGGCUAAUACCGGAUAUUCCCCCCGGGGGAAAGAUUUAUCGCUCUGAGAUUGGCCCGCGUUAGAUUAGGUAGUUGGUGGGGUAAUGGCCUACCAAGCCUACGAUCUAUAGCUGGUCUGAGAGGACGACCAGCCACACUGGAACUGAGACACGGUCCAGACUCCUACGGGAGGCAGCAGUGGGGAAUAUUGGACAAUGGGGGAAACCCUGAUCCAGCCAUGCCGCCUGAGUGAUGAAGGCCUUAGGGUUGUAAAGCUCUUUUACCAGGGAAGAUGAUGACGGUACCUGGAGAAUAAGCACCGGCUAACUUCGUGCCAGCAGCCGCGGUAAUACGAAGGGUGCUAGCGUUGUUCGGAAUCACUGGGCGUAAAGCGCGCGUAGGCGGCUUUCCAAGUCAGGGGUGAAAUCCUGGGGCUCAACCCCAGAAUUGCCUCUGAAACUGGCAAGCUAGAGUACUGGAGGGGAUAGCGGAAUUCCUAAUGUAGAGGUGAAAUUCGUAGAUAUUAGGAGGAACACCGGUGGCGAAGGCGGCUAUCUGGACAGUAACUGACGCUCUGGCGCGAAAGCGCGGGGAUCAAACAGGGUUAGAUACCCUGGUAGUCCGCGCUGUAAACGAUGGAUAUUAGCCGUUGGGGGGUUACCCCUCAGUGGCGUAGCUAACGCGUUAAAUAUCCCGCCUGGGGAGUACGGUCGCAAGAUUAAAACUCAAAGGAAUUGACGGGGACCCGCACAAGCGGUGGAACAUGUGGUUUAAUUCGAGGCAACGCGGAGAACCUUACCAGGCCUUGACAUGCCCUCUAUGGAAAGCAGAAACGUUUUCCUUCACUUCGGGUGGGAGGUGCACAGGUGCUGCAUGGCUGUCGUCAGCUCGUGUCGUGAGAUGUUGGGUUAAGUCCCGCAACGAGCGCAACCCUCAUCCUCUGUUGCUAACAGGUAAUGCUGAGAACUCUGAGGAAACUGCCGGUGAUAAGCCGGAGGAAGGUGGGGAUGACGUCAAGUCCUCAUGGCCCUUACGGCCUGGGCUACACACGUGUUACAAUGGCGGUGACAAUGAGCAGCUAACCCGCAAGGGCAUGCUAAUCUCAAAAAGCCGCCUCAGUUCAGAUUGUACUCUGCAACUCGAGUGCAUGAAGCUGGAAUCGCUAGUAAUCGCGGAUCAGAACGCCGCGGUGAAUACGUUCCCGGGUCUUGUACACACCGCCCGUCACACCAUGGGAGUUGGUUCUACCUUAAGCCGGGGUGCUAACCGCAAGGAAGCAGCCGACCACGGUAGGGUCAAUGACUGGGGUGA